CUGCAGAUAGUUGGGUCACUAACAUGUUGGGAAAUCAGAUAAUGGUAUUAAAUAUAAAUCUGAAAAUGGAAAACCACAUUCCCUAGGAAAGUUAGUUCCUGGUUUUAAUCAUCAAAAUCUGAAAUUGAAUAGUUAAUUUCUCAACUCUAUUGCAAUUAAAUCAAAGUCAUCUCCGUCGAAUCUCUGAUCUUAUACAUGACUGAGUGAGAAAUUGAAAUGGCACUUAAUAAAGCCCAGGAGAUCUCCACUUUUGCUCCAGUCGUUGUUUUCAGCAAAACAUGUUGUGGUUUUUACAAUAGGGUCAAGCACCUGCUAACACAGUUUGGAGCAAGUUACAAGUUCAUUGAACUGGAGGAGUAAAGUAAAAGAAUAAGAUCUCUUUGCCUAAUCUAAAACUAUUUUUUGAGCUAAAAAAUUCAACAUUUUUAACAAAAUUUCUCUUUUUUAAAGGUGAUGGAGCUGAAAUUCAAUCAGCUUUAGCAGGGUGGACUGGGUUAAGGAGUACUGUACCUAACGUGUUUAUUGGCAGAAAACAUAUUGGUUGUAGUGAUUGUAAGGCUAAACUCCACAUUGCUGUUACUUGAUUUCAACUUUGUUCUCGAGGAUCAUUACUUGGCUACAGCAAUAAAUUGGUUGUUGGAAAAAUGGCACACAGAUUUCAAAACGAAAUCAAUUCUUUUAUUUUAUUGCUUUGCUUUGAUUGAAUCCUCGGUAUGUAAUGAUUGGUUUUCGAGGGGAAAUCUGCUUCAGAUCCUGAUGGUACAUAUGAUCUUCAUAAUACUCUUAUGCAGACUUUGUUUCUUCAUUUAAGUUAUUAUUAUUAUUAUUAUUUUUUUUUUUCUGAACUAGCUUAUUUUCUAUUGUAGCAAUUUUGGUUCUUAAUUCUAAAUUGUUAACUUCUAACUGAUUGGCUGAGAAUCGAGUGACCCACGGUGCCAGAAAAGGCAUAAGAGAUUGUGCUGGUGACCCGGUCGGCCUCAAUAAAAUGUCUGGUGUUCGAGAAGCUCAAUGUAGACUGUAGAGAAGGCUUUAGCUGAGCACAUAAAGAAGGAAUUCAAUAGGAGGCAUGGACCCAUUUGGCAUUACUUGGCUGGUCAGGAUUUUGGUAAUCGCAUUUCAACACUAUUUCCUUUUUUGGGGCAUUUAUUUUAAUUUUCUCAAAUUUGAAGCUAUGUGUUGCCAUUUUUUUUUUGGGCAUUGAAGUGUUGACAUGUGCAAGGAUUUGUAUUUUUCGUUACUAAUUGGAUUCAUUAUUUGCCGGAUAGCUGAUGCUAUUUCUAUAAUUAAAGCAUGGAAUACUUAGAUCUAGGCUUAGAUUAGAUGUUAUUUACUUGUAUCUAUGUUUAUCGGU